rnacentral:rRNA from 1 species
CCUACGGGUGGCAGCAGUAGGGAAUAUUCGGCAAUGGGGGGAACCCUGACCGAGCAACGCCGCGUGAACGAAGAAGGUCUUCGUAAUGUUAAGUUCUUUUAACAGGGAAGAAAGAGAAAUUUGACGGUACCUGACGAAUAGGCUCCGGCUAACUACGUGCCAGCUGCCGCGGUAAUACGUAGGGAGCGAGCGGUAUCGGGAAUUAUUGGGCGGAAAGGGUGCGUAGAUGGCAUAGGAAGUCUGUGGUAAAAAUGCUGGGCUCAACCCAGUAGGGCAAAAGAUACUGCAAAGCUAGAGUAUGAGAGAAGCAAGUGGAACUAGAUGUGUAGCGGUGAAAUGCGUAAAUAUA